rnacentral:rRNA from 2 species
UUACCGAGUGAGGGCCCUCUGGGUCCAACCUCCCACCCGUGUUUAUUUUACCUUGUUGCUUCGGCGGGCCCGCCUUAACUGGCCGCCGGGGGGCUUACGCCCCCGGGCCCGCGCCCGCCGAAGACACCCUCGAACUCUGUCUGAAGAUUGUAGUCUGAGUGAAAAUAUAAAUUAUUUAAAACUUUCAACAACGGAUCUCUUGGUUCCGGCAUCGAUGAAGAACGCAGCGAAAUGCGAUACGUAAUGUGAAUUGCAAAUUCAGUGAAUCAUCGAGUCUUUGAACGCACAUUGCGCCCCCUGGUAUUCCGGGGGGCAUGCCUGUCCGAGCGUCAUUGCUGCCCUCAAGCACGGCUUGUGUGUUGGGCCCCGUCCUCCGAUCCCGGGGGACGGGCCCGAAAGGCAGCGGCGGCACCGCGUCCGGUCCUCGAGCGUAUGGGGCUUUGUCACCCGCUCUGUAGGCCCGGCCGGCGCUUGCCGAUCAACCCAAAUUUUUAUCCAGGUUGACCUCGGAUCAGGUAGGGAUACCCGCUGAACUUAAGCAUAUCAAUAAGCGGAGGAA